rnacentral:rRNA from 1 species
UGGGGAAUUUUGGACAAUGGGGGAAACCCUGAUCCAGCCAUCCCGCGUGUGCGAUGAAGGCCUUCGGGUUGUAAAGCACUUUUGGCAGGAAAGAAACUUCAUGGGUUAAUACCCCGUGAAACUGACGGUACCUGCAGAAUAAGCACCGGCUAACUACGUGCCAGCAGCCGCGGUAAUACGUAGGGUGCAAGCGUUAAUCGGAAUUACUGGGCGUAAAGCGUGCGCAGGCGGUUCGGAAAGAAAGAUGUGAAAUCCCAGAGCUCAACUUUGGAACUGCAUUUUUAACUACCGGGCUAGAGUGUGUCAGAGGGAGGUGGAAUUCCGCGUGUAGCAGUGAAAUGCGUAGAUAUGCGGAGGAACACCGAUGGCGAAGGCAGCCUCCUGGGAUAACACUGACGCUCAUGCACGAAAGCGUGGGGAGCAAACAGG